rnacentral:rRNA from 1 species
UAGGGAAUCUUCCGCAAUGGGCGAAAGCCUGACGGAGCAACGCCGCGUGAGUGAUGAAGGUCUUCGGAUCGUAAAACUCUGUUAUUAGGGAAGAACAAAUGUGUAAGUAACUAUGCACGUCUUGACGGUACCUAAUCAGAAAGCCACGGCUAACUACGUGCCAGCAGCCGCGGUAAUACGUAGGUGGCAAGCGUUAUCCGGAAUUAUUGGGCGUAAAGCGCGCGUAGGCGGUUUUUUAAGCCUGAUGUGAAAGCCCACGGCUCAACCGUGGAGGGUCAUUGGAAACUGGAAAACUUGAGUGCAGAAGAGGAAAGUGGAAUUCCAUGUGUAGCGGUGAAAUGCGCAGAGAUAUGGAGGAACACCAGUGGCGAAGGCGACUUUCUGGUCUGUAACUGACGCUGAUGUGCGAAAGCGUGGGGAUCAAACAGG